UGCGUAGGCGGAAUUGUAAGUCAGUGGUGAAAUCUCACGGCUCAACCGUGAAACUGCCAUUGAAACUGCAGUUCUUGAGUAUAGUUGGAGUAGGCGGAAUGUGUCAUGUAGCGGUGAAAUGCAUAGAUAUGACACAGAACACCGAUCGCGAAGGCAGCUUACUAAACUAUUACUGACGCUGAGGCACGAAAGCGUGGGGAGCAAACAGGAUUAGAUACCCUGGUAGUCC
rnacentral:rRNA from 1 species